UGUGUGCUAUGCUGGUAAUAACGUAAAUCUCGGGAUGGCAGAAGAACGGUAUUAAAAUCUGGAUACUGCCCAAGCCUAGCACUAGAAAAGAAAAGCAAAAAAGGGAAGGCACAGCAAGGCACAAUAGAGACACAGUGAUCAGCUUGUUAGGGGUGAACUGGGAGCAGAGCUGAAGCGGUAGAAAAGAAGAGACGGCAACAGAGAGGGCUUCGUCCUGAGCCCUAUACUACGAAUCAGUGUUCCUCCGGAGAGGCCUGCCUCGGAUGAAUGAGACCGAGGGUAACCCCCAAUACUACCACCUUGCC